AAUGUUACAAUAACAAAUCCACUUUCUUUGCUCCUCGUUUGCCUUCUUUCUCUGUGAUUUUUUGUGUUCGGAGAUCGUGAUGGGACCUGGUGGCCCAGGUGGGCCCGGUGGACCUCCUGGCCCUGGAGGACCUGGUGGCCCGGGUCCUGGUCCUGGCUGGGCUCCUCUUCCUGGGGGUCCUCCAGGUUGGGGCCCGGGCCCUGGAGGUCCUGGCCCUGGAGGCCCCUUCUGGGGCCCUGGACCAGGAGGCCCCUUCUGGGGACCUGGAGGAUCUUACUGGGGUCCUGGCUUUGGUGGUUUCCUAGGCUCAUGCUUUUACUUCCUUUGCUGUUGCUGCUUGCUGCAAGAGUGCUGUGGGCCGUUUUUUGGUGGGCCUCCAGGCCCCCCAGGCCCCCCUGGACCACCUGGACCGCCCUUUUAAUUUAAGCAGUCCGACAAAAUGGACACAUGAAGCAGAACAGUGAGCUGCUUGGUGCUAUGUCGCGUUCUUUUUCCUUUCUGGUCGCUGUCCUUUUUUUUUUUUUUUUUAUUUGUAUUGUAUUUCUCAUCCUGGUAUGCUUGCUGUGACCUACGGUUAUAGAGAUCGUCAAUGUCACAUUACUAAAGAAACCCCAACCUUCCAUUUGGAAAGCGUUUCCUUUUUUCACAAAAUAUGGGAAGGUUAAACAUUUGAUAUCUUAAUUUGUUGGUAGUUCUACAAGUUGUGCUUUAUGAUGGAAGCAGCCCACGUGGCCAUCUCCACCUUAGAUCGCCUCCGCGAAAGAUCCUCCAAGACGAGCAUCAUGGGUUCUGAGCGGAGAAUAUUUGGGAGAAGAAGACGACCCUUCCAAGACCCUCCAAGCCAAUGAAAAAGGAUCUCUCUCCGUGGAUCCUUAGCUCCUCGAUCCGUGGAUUUGAGACAUUGGCUGCCUUGGAUCCUUCUUCCUCAAAAGGGAUUGUGGGCGUUUGUCCUUCUGUCAAAGAUGCUUCAUCCCCACAAGAGAAAGGAAGACCUUCCAUCCGUAAAACCUUUAGAGAGAUCCUGCUCUCCAACCUCUCCUCCAAAAUAUCUUUGAGCCUUUUCCCUUUCGAAAUGGGAACGUGCUUUAAAUGUGGUGAACUGGGCCAUUUCAGACGAGAAUGCAGAAAUGCCCUUGUUUGCUUCUCUUGCAGGGUUAUGGUCACUCUUCUAAGAUAUGCACUUACUCUCCUCCUGUCGAUAAAAACCCAGUGUGGAUAUAUGGCAGACUGGAAAAGCUGCUUGCAUUCCUUCCCACUGAUGUUGAUGUGAGGCAUGGUCCUCGUGGAUGUCUUCACAGUCAAUACUUCUUUUAUCUCUAGUUCCCAGCUUGUUAGAGCUUUAAAGGAUCUUCUCUUCGAAUUUAACUGGGAGCCUCAGUUCCUAGGCUUCAACAGCUACGUGGUCCCCUUUCCUAACCGGAAAGAAAUCUGUCUUGCUCAAAGGAAAGGCAUCAUGAAGACCUCACAUUUCUCCUCUAUUAGGCCUUGGUCCAUUCAAGGAGGGAAAGCUGACAGUGUUCCAAACCGUGCCCUCAUUGAGAUUUCUGGUCUUCCUUUUAUCUGUGCAAAUGUUGCUUCUAUUCUAAGAAUUGUUGCUGGUUUUGGCCUUCUGCAAAAUAUACUUCCUUCUUCUCUCCUGGGGCCUUGAUAGAGGCUGUCCUUCUAUAUGUCUUCUGUGAAGGCGCUCGAUCCAUUUCUAGGAGUCUGGAUGUCAUAUGUGGUGACUUCUCCGAUGUAAGUCAAAAUUGAUAUUCUUGGUCUUGAGCAA